ensembl:lncRNA
AUGUCCUCAUAUACCCUGAGGUAUAUUAGGGUGAACUGGAAUUGUAAUCACAGCUUGUCUGAGGGCUUGGGGAUCAUCCAGUUCAACUCGCUCUCCAAGAACUGGAACAGACGCUUCUCAAGGUCACACCACCGUACUGGGUGUCUGCAUUCGAAGAAGGAACCCAGGGAAGCUCUCGCACACACAACAGACCUCGGAAGCACCUGUUCACAAUCAGAAACCCCAAAAUAUGCCUGCAAUGUUCUGACAAAAAAAGAGGCCAUUGUCCAGUUAGCAAAACCCCUGAAUUUAUUCAGAGUGAGGGAGGAAUCCAGCAACUGCUUGGAUGUAACCUGGAGACGGCUGUGGGAAACAUCACUCGUUGCAGCCUCCAUGUAGCCUGUCUGAGGCCUUCAGCAAGAUGCAACCUGCCCUGACCCACCGAGUGUGGCUCUGCUCACCAUGCCGCCGAGAUCCAGCAGGCUCCUUGGCAAUGAGAAGGUGCGACUGUGUUAGUUGUGGUCUCCUGCAGAAGGACUGGCCCCCACCACAAUCAUAAGCCCUGCAUCAAGCCUGAGUGAUUGUCCUGGUGCUGAGAGCAAAAUUAAUUCUGUUUGGGAAAAAAAUGCUUUCUAAUAAACUAAGAGGAAAGUGAUGCCAUCCCAUAUCUUGCUACCCAGCUGGGCGGGGACCCUGUGAGCUGUCAGCACCAAUAUGGGAGAAGUGGGAUGGAAAAUAGCUGAGGCCAAGGUCAGAUACAGACAAGAACAGAGGCAAGUCUCCAAGCCUGGGAUGUGGAGCUGUCAGCACUACAGGGCAUCGGGCAAGAUCAGGAUGGAGUCAACAGCUGGAGAUGCCAAGUUGGAGCAGGGGCACUCUGUGAGCCUGCAAGAGCUGAGCUGGCACGAUGGGGGAAGGGGCCAGCAGAGAAUAAGGGCAUGCACCUCUCUUUCUUUGUCUGAUUCACCACUACUUAUCUUUUAUACCUUGGCUCAGACAUCAUUUUAUCUCAAAGAAGGCCAUUAUCCUGCAAUUCUCCUCGAUAGCACCUACCAUUGAAGUGAGUUAAUGGGUAACUGAUUUUGGAGUCCUCCCUGCUAGAUCAUAAACUCCACGAGCUAGGCCCCCCAGCUGUCUUCUUUAUGGUCACACCUCUGGUACCCAGCACCGUGUGUGACCCAUUGUCAGCCCUCAAUACUUCUUACUGGGAGGAAGGAAAGAUGAGUAAAGGGCACAGAAGAGGAAGGAGGUAGGGAGGAAGAUGGGAAGGACAAAUCGGAGGAAGGUGCACACUAAGCUGUGUCUGGUUCCAGAUCCUGUUUCUAAGGAGCUGCUGGUGGGCUUGUAAAUGCAGGUGGGCAUGGCCGACCCUGAAGGCAAAGGAUCCCCAGCCCAGCGACUGACCUGUGCGGUAGACAUUAGAGGGCAUGUGGUUUAGGAACCUGGCACAUAAAUCCUUCUUGGAAAAAUAAUCACAUUGUAUUUCUUGGUGUUUCAUCUCUUGACGGGGGUUUUUCUUUCUCUGGUGUUUGAGAUGAAAACAAGCUGUGACCUGAAACUAUAGAUACUUCUCAAGGAUGAUGGUAUGUCGGAAGAAUGUGGUUAAAAUGCUCAUUAGGGAUCAUCUACCAUUGUAAAGAACAGGGUAGAGGAAGAGUAGGGUAGGCAGUCUCUUAAUCCUUGGAUUUACUCAACAGGAUUUUACCAAACAGGAUGAACCUCUGAAAAAAAGACAAGUAUUUACAAUACCAUUGUAAAUAAAACCUAAUGAAAGACAUCUGAAGUCUACAGGCAAAUGAACAGCCUUAAGAAGACUGCAUCUUACAGGCAACGACCUUUGCCAAUAACUUUGAUACCAAUAGAGUUGCUGAUGUUGAUUAUUCAAUCUGUGGCAAGGUAGGAGUCCACGAGUGCAAAGGCAAUUGGGACAGUGGGCUUGGGAAUAUUCGCUGGGUGAGAGGAAGCAGUGGUCCUGAAACAUAAUGUUCCUAUGAUUUAACUGCGACUGAGCAGGUCUGAGGUGGGGCCUUAGAUUUUGCUUUUUAAACAAGCAAUAUCUAUGCAGGUGAGUCUUAAGAAAAAACUUAAACAGUUUUUCCUCUGUUCUCACGCUAACACAACAGUUAUCAACACAGACAGAAGAAUUCUGUUACCACCAAAUAUGAGGGGGCUUCUCCCCAUCAGCAAGUAGCCCAUCAUUUCUGCAGUGGAUGCCAGCUGGGUGCCCUCCAAUUCAAUUCUGACAUCUACUGGAAGAUAGUGUUCAAUCCCAUAAGGUCUGACUAUACAGACGCCACAGGUGCAUGCCACUAUGCUCACCUAAUUUUUAAAAAUGUUUUGUAGAGAUGGGGUCUUGCUAUGUUGCCCAGGCUGAGACUCAAGUGAUCCACCCACCUCAGUCUCCCAAAGUGCUGGGAUUACAAGCGUGAGCCACCCUGCCCAACCUCAACACUCACAUGUUUUUAUUUGACUAGAUUCUUUGAGUUGCAAGGAAUAAAGAGGUCACUCAACCUAGUUCAAGCAACGAGGUUUAUAGUGAAGAAAUUGCAAAGCAGUGAGAAUGAUGGAAACUUCUGGAAAACAGGAUUUGUGGACUAGCCAGACCUGGAAGAGACCGGAACCAGGUGUCAUCCUGAGUCCAGGGCAGCUCAAGGCACCUCAGGGGCAGAGGUUUGUGUAAUUCUUUACCUCUUGCUGUUCUUCGAAGGGCUUUCUUCUAUCUCAGAGCUUUCACUACCCCAUGCUUCUCCUAACUUCUGCCAGCUCACCGCCUCUCAGAGCCACUCCUCUGACUCAAAGUCUCUGUUUCUGCUUCCUUUCAGCAUCUUCCCCACUGAAGACAGUACCCUUGCUAGUUUCUAAUUCAGGCUCUCAAGAGCAAGAAGCUGACCUGCCCCUCCCGGCAGGCAAAGCACAUCACCCAGGCGCCCCGGGGCCCUGCCAGCCUGCAACCAAGCUUCUUAGUCAGGCUAGGUGUGCCCCAGCUUUUCAAACACCUGGGGCUGGGCAGGGGCAGGAUAGGAUGGGCCUCAUGGUACAACCUUGCUGCCAGGAGAGCAGGUGCUGCCUCCUGGGAAGGGC